rnacentral:miRNA from 1 species
UCCUGGCUCUCGGCUCUAUA